rnacentral:rRNA from 1 species
CGAGUGCCCCAAGCGUUAUCCGGAAUCAUUGGGCGUAAAGGGUGUGUAGGUGGCACUUCUAGUCUUCUGUCAAAAUCCAGGGCUCAACCCCGGACUUGCAGAGGAAACGGCAGUGCUCGAGGGUGCGAGGGGUGAAUGGAACUCAUGGAGUAGGGGUGAAAUCCGUUGAUAUCAUGGGGAACACCAAAAGCGAAGGCAAUUCACUGGCGCACAUCUGACACUGAAACACGAAAGCGUGGGUAGCGAACGGGAUUAGAUACCCCGGUAGUCCACGCCCUAAACGAUGUCAACUAGCCUUGGGGGGAAUCGACCCCCUCCGAGGCGUAGCAAACGCGUUAAGUUGACCGCCUGGGUAGUACGGCCGCAAGGCUA